GGUUGUGGCUCAGUUGGUAGAGCACUUGCCUUGCAUGUGUGAGGCACUGGAUUCAAUUCUCAGCACCA
rnacentral:tRNA from 1 species